CAGUAAGUGAUCACUUGGUGGGUGACAAUAGUCUCAGUGGGUACAGCAAGAGUCCCAGUCUUGGUGCCCAGUACCUACCGUGUAGCAGUUACCCUGUCCCCCCAUGAGUUUGCACUCCAGGCUGCAGAUUCCUCUGGUGUUAGGGUUUCUGUCUUGGCUUUAACCCUGAGCACACCGUGGGUCCUUUAAAGCCCUCUCUCCUCUGAGCAGCACGGAUUGCUGUUCGCAAAUGCGG